rnacentral:rRNA from 1 species
UACAGAGGGUGCGAGCGUUGUCCGGAAUCACUGGGCGUAAAGGGCGCGUAGGUGGCGGCCCAAGUCCAUGGUGAAAGCUCGAUGCUCAACAUCGAGUCGGCCACGGAUACUGGGUUGCUCGAGCACUGUAGGGGCAGAUGGAAUUCCGGGUGUAGCGGUGGAAUGCGUAGAGAGUCCGGAAGAACACCGGUGGCGAAGGCGGUCUGCUGGGCCAUUACUGACGCUCAUGCACGAAAGCG